CCUGAAACCCUUGAUCUGGUUCCUUCAUGACAGAUGUGCCCUCUAAUGAACCAUUAAUAAAAGAAUCUUUUUCUGAUGAACAACUCAUGUCCAUGACCAUAGAACUAUGGUACAUUGAUAUUGUCAAUUACUUAGCCACAGAUAUAUAGGAUUUUCUCCCAUUAGACCACUCAGGACAAACACAAAUUUUAUACCCAAGUAAAGUAUUUUAUUUGAAAUGAUCCAUAUCUAUUUAAAUAAUAUCCUGACCAAAUCAUUAAAAGAUAUAUUUCGAACCCCG
rnacentral:lncRNA from 1 species